AAUCUCUGAGAGACAAAUUUAGGACAUGUGCUGAUGUGAAGUAUGCCGAAAUUAAGAUGGAGAAUGGUAAAUCUCAAGGCUGGGGACUCGUUAGAUUUGGCUCCGCUGAAGAUGCUCAAAGAGCAAUCUCUGCUAUGAACCGGACCCGAGUAGACGGACGGGAAAUUGAUGUGAAGCUCUACCGCUAAAUGACGGCAUUACUCUGACAGGAGUCCUGUAUUUAUGAUGAUGUGCCUGGAGGUCGGAAAAGGACGUCCCCUACAGCAGCACUAACAGAAGAUUACCUACAGUGAACUUGUCUUUUAUGCAGAUGUGAUUUACCCAGUGUUUCAUCACAACAAGACUGCAAAUACAGUACAUACAAGUCAUUGAACCACAUGGUUUUCUGAAUCGGUUGGACCAAGAAGGAUUCAUGAGGGGCCUUUGAAUGGUGGACCAGUUGGAAUAUUAAAAAUAUGUCUUGUAAUUAGACAAAAAUGCUGAAAAAAUCAGCUGAUAAACAUUUAGACCUUGUACUAGGUGCCUUAUGGAAAACAUGAUGAACAUUUAGACGUUGCAAUAAGUUGUGGUGGAUACCAUCUUGGAUGUUUUUGCAUUGUACCAGGUGUCUCAUGGGAAAGAUGAUUAACAUUGUACAAAUGGUCUUGUGGAAGGAAGAAAGAUUAAUUUAUGUAUUGGCAAUAUAAAUUUUGUCAAGAACAAUUAUAGCAUGAAGAGUUGUUAAAACGUUAAUAAAUCUUUAUCUGAAAAGACAA